GACAGAGGGUGCAAACGUUGUUCGGAAUUACUGGGCGUAAAGCGCGUGUAGGCGGCCCGGAAAGUCGGAUGUGAAAGCCCUGGGCUUAACCUAGGAAGUGCAUUCGAAACUCCCGUGGCUUGAGUUCUGGAGAGGGAAGCGGAAUUCUCGGUGUAGAGGUGAAAUUCGUAGAUAUCGAGAGGAACACCGGUGGCGAAGGCGGCUUCCUGGACAGUGACUGACGCUGAGACGCGAAAGCGUGGGAG
rnacentral:rRNA from 1 species